GACGAACGCUGGCGGCGUGCCUAAUACAUGCAAGUCGAGCGAGCGGAACUAACAGAUUUACUUCGGUAAUGACGUUAGGAAAGCGAGCGGCGGAUGGGUGAGUAACACGUGGGGAACCUGCCCCAUAGUCUGGGAUACCACUUGGAAACAGGUGCUAAUACCGGAUAAGGAAGCAGAUCGCAUGAUCAGCUUUUAAAAGGCGGCGUAAGCUGUCGCUAUGGGAUGGCCCCGCGGUGCAUUAGCUAGUUGGUAAGGUAAAGGCUUACCAAGGCGAUGAUGCAUAGCCGAGUUGAGAGACUGAUCGGCCACAUUGGGACUGAGACACGGCCCAAACUCCUACGGGAGGCAGCAGUAGGGAAUCUUCCACAAUGGACGCAAGUCUGAUGGAGCAACGCCGCGUGAGUGAAGAAGGUUUUCGGAUCGUAAAGCUCUGUUGUUGGUGAAGAAGGAUAGAGGUAGUAACUGGCCUUUAUUUGACGGUAAUCAACCAGAAAGUCACGGCUAACUACGUGCCAGCAGCCGCGGUAAUACGUAGGUGGCAAGCGUUGUCCGGAUUUAUUGGGCGUAAAGCGAGGCGCAGGCGGAAAGAAUAAGUCUGAUGUGAAAGCCCCUCGGCUUAACCGAGGAACUGCAUCGGAAACUGUUUUUCUUGAGUGCAGAAGAGGAGAGUGGAACUCCAUGUGUAGCGGUGGAAUGCGUAGAUAUAUGGAAGAACACCAGUGGCGAAGGCGGCUCUCUGGUCUGCAACUGACGCUGAGGCUCGAAAGCAUGGGUAGCGAACAGGAUUAGAUACCCUGGUAGUCCAUGCCGUAAACGAUGAGUGCUAAGUGCUGGGAGGUUUCCGCCUCUCAGUGCUGCAGCUAACGCAUUAAGCACUCCGCCUGGGGAGUACGACCGCAAGGUUGAAACUCAAAGGAAUUGACGGGGGCCCGCACAAGCGGUGGAGCAUGUGGUUUAAUUCGAAGCAACGCGAAGAACCUUACCAGGUCUUGACAUCUAGUGCCAUUUGUAGAGAUACAAAGUUCCCUUCGGGGACGCUAAGACAGGUGGUGCAUGGCUGUCGUCAGCUCGUGUCGUGAGAUGUUGGGUUAAGUCCCGCAACGAGCGCAACCCUUGUUAUUAGUUGCCAGCAUUAAGUUGGGCACUCUAAUGAGACUGCCGGUGACAAACCGGAGGAAGGUGGGGAUGACGUCAAGUCAUCAUGCCCCUUAUGACCUGGGCUACACACGUGCUACAAUGGGCAGUACAACGAGAAGCGAGCCUGCGAAGGCAAGCGAAUCUCUGAAAGCUGUUCUCAGUUCGGACUGCAGUCUGCAACUCGACUGCACGAAGCUGGAAUCGCUAGUAAUCGCGGAUCAGCACGCCGCGGUGAAUACGUUCCCGGGCCU
rnacentral:rRNA from 1 species